AAAAACUCCGGUGGUAUGAGAUGGACCCGCGUCUGAUUAGCUGGUUGGAGGGGUAAUGGCCCACCAAGGCGACGAUCAGUAGCCGGCCUGAGAGGGUGAACGGCCACAUUGGGACUGAGACACGGCCCAGACUCCUACGGGAGGCAGCAGUGGGGAAUAUUGCACAAUGGGGGAAACCCUGAUGCAGCGACGCCGCGUGAAGGAAGAAGUAUCUCGGUAUGUAAACUUCUAUCAGCAGGGAAGAAAAUGACGGUACCUGACUAAGAAGCCCCGGCUAACUACGUGCCAGCAGCCGCGGUAAUACGUAGGGGGCAAGCGUUAUCCGGAUUUACUGGGUGUAAAGGGAGCGUAGACGGAAGAGCAAGUCUGAUGUGAAAGGCUGGGGCUUAACCCCAGGACUGCAUUGGAAACUGUUUUUCUAGAGUGCCGGAGAGGUAAGCGGAAUUCCUAGUGUAGCGGUGAAAUGCGUAGAUAUUAGGAGGAACACCAGUGGCGAAGGCGGCU
rnacentral:rRNA from 1 species